GGAGGGAUCUUACUACGGGAUAAAUCGAGUAAUUUGGCGUACACCCAAUAUCUUCCGAUAAUGGAGGAUUUCGUUUUAUGUCGCCAAUAUAGUUGGGGUUAUGCAAUUUUGGCAUUUUUGUAUCGUGAACUAUGUAAGGCGACCGUAGUCGUUAGAGAAAAAACAGAAGUAGCGGGUUGUUUAGUUUUGCUCCAAUCAUGGGCGUGGUAUUGUCUCCUGUUUAUGACGCCUAUUAUAUCUGCUCCUAUGAAGUUUCCUCUCGUCGCAAGAUGACGACACCGAAUAAUCGAUACAAAGUUAUCGGGCGCAACCAAAGUAGAUAUUCAGAUGAGAAUUGAUAUCGCCGGUAGACAUGCGAUAUCUAACAAUGUCUACCACCAAUGUUCUUUGAAUGAGCAGACACAUGGUGUGUCAUAACACCAUUGCUCCAUUUUGCAAUUGUUGAGAUCCAUGUCGCCAAUAGAGUUUUACGACAAUUUGGGUUUCACCAACCGAUAGAAAUGUCAAUAUAUAACAUUGAUGAUUUGCAUAAAGUAGAUGCGCAUGGGAAGCAUAACGAAGAUUGGCCGAUGAAGCAUGCUACAUUCAUAUAUUAUUGGCAAAAUAGUCAUUUACGAUUGCUUAAUCGUUCCGAGGUACAACCCGAAGAUUUUGAUUUCAAUGUUUCUCCCUACCUCCAAAAUUAUGAAGCAAAUGGGAAACCAUACUUGACAAUGCCGGAGGAGCGGUCCGAGUGGAAAUAAUGAAGGAAAAAUAUAGGAAAAAAUCAUCAUCUUCAUUAACAUCUUCAUCUUAUGCUUCCGUCAAUUAUUGUCCAUCGCAAUAAAAGUUAUGGUGGAUAUGGUGCAUAUCAACCAUCGAUGGAGAGUCGAGCGGCGUGGGAAGGAAGUGGGUGGGAUCAAGUGCCACCUUCACAACAAUUUUCCUCAGAACCGGAAGAAAGAGGUCCAUGGGAUCAUCUUCUUCAUCACGGACAAUCUGAAUUUGAGGCAAUGACGUCAAUGAUGGCGUCAAAUACCUUGAGUACUCCAUCGUUUUCACCCGAAGAUGUAUAUCAAAGUGGUGGAGUAGUGUUCAGAACACCGGAACUGGAAAAAGAGUAAAAAUGAAGAAAGUGGACGACCACGACGAAAUCGACGAGCACCACGUCAUUACCAUUCUACCACGCCUCGACAUCGGCAAA